UGCACCUGUACCUGCAGUGGUCAGUGCUUAAUUAUACAUGGGAAAUGAGAAGUGCCAAGAGGAAAAUUCAUGUUAGCCUGUCCUGUAGCUGCUGGUUGCAUCAGUUCCUCCAUUUUGAAGAAAGGUGGAUUUGGAUUUCUAAGAAAGAAGUCUUCAGAGUGAUUAUUCUUCUGCUUGCGCACUACCCUAUGAAGAUCAGGGACAUAAUCUGUGGUGUGGUAAAGUACCUGUCAGGAGAUUAGCCCCUAGCUUGAAGGCAACCCUAAGCUAAAGCAGACAGCUGAUAUGCUGGACAAAUGGUAGUUCUCAGAUGAAUUCAUCCCUUUAAAACUCCAAUAUGAAAGAGCUCAUUUCUUCAGCCAGGAGGACAAGAUGUGUAAUAUUUUCUGUGCUAUGAAAACAUAGCAUCUACUAAAAGUCUGUAAAAAUUGAAGUACUCAUUUUUUAUCUGCUCUGUAGUCCCCUGAGAGACCGAAAAGCAAUAAAUGAAAAGACUGUCAGUACCUCA
rnacentral:lncRNA from 1 species